GGCUUAUUGAUGAAUAAUUUUAAGUCUGACCUGCCCACUGAGUUAUUAAAGGGCCGCGGUAUUUUGACCGUGCAAAGGUAGCAUAAUCAUUAGUUUUUUAAUUGAAAGCUGGAAUGAAUGGUUGAAUGAAAAAAAAACUGUCUUUAUUAUAAAAUUUGAAAUUUAUUUUUAAGUUAAAAAGCUUAAAUAAUUUUAAAAGACGAGAAGACCCUAUAGAGUUUUAUUUUUAUAUUAUAAAAUUAUUUUGGUUUUAAAUAUAUAUUUAUUUUUAAAAAAUUUAAUUGGGGUGAUUGAAAAAUUUAGUAAACUUUUUUUUAUUAUUAACAAAAAUUAUUGAAUGAUUGAUCCAUUAAAAAUGAUUAUAAGAUUAAAUUACCUUAGGGAUAACAGCGUAAUUUUUUUUGAGAGUUCAUAUUGAAAAAAAAGAUUGCGACCUCGAUGUUGGAUUAAAAUAAACUUUUGGUGCAGAAGCUUUAAAGUUAGGUCUGUUCGACCUUUAAAAUUUUACA
rnacentral:rRNA from 1 species